UGGGGAAUAUUGGACAAUGGGCGAAAGCCUGAUCCAGCCAUGCCGCGUGUGUGAAGAAGGUCUUCGGAUUGUAAAGCACUUUAAGUUGGGAGGAAGGGUUGUAGAUUAAUACUCUGCAAUUUUGACGUUACCGACAGAAUAAGCACCGGCUAACUCUGUGCCAGCAGCCGCGGUAAUACAGAGGGUGCAAGCGUUAAUCGGAAUUACUGGGCGUAAAGCGCUCGUAGGUGGUUUGUUAAGUUGGAUGUGAAAGCCCCGGGCUCAACCUGGGAACUGCAUCCAAAACUGGCAAGCUAGAGUACGGUAGAGGGUGGUGGAAUUUCCUGUGUAGCGGUGAAAUGCGUAGAUAUAGGAAGGAACACCAGUGGCGAAGGCGACCACCUGGACUGAUACUGACACUGAGGUGCGAAAGCGUGGGGAGCAAACA
rnacentral:rRNA from 1 species